GGCCACAGCCAUAUCACCCUGCAGCCCAAGACCGUAUACUUACUGAAACUAAGCAGGGCUGAGCCUGGUCAGUACCUGGAUGGGAGACCACGUGGAAAAACAAGGUUGCUGUUGGAA
ensembl:rRNA 5S_rRNA 5S ribosomal RNA